CAUUUUUCACAUAUCACCCAAAUACAAAACUCAUCCAAACUCUAUUUCUGAAACCAAACUGAAAUCGGGAAGGAAGGAGCAGAAACGUAUCUACCCUUUUUAAUUUUUUUUUUUUUUUUGAAAUCUUGAUGCUAACUUUCCAUUCUUCUUGUUGUUGAGGGAGGGUUGAGAUGGCAGAAGCUCUUUUCUUUUAAUUGGAUUCAAAGUUUGUGAAGGAGUCUUUUGUGAUAUUUGGUAUCUCUUUUCUUUUUUGGGGAAGAUCAGAUCCGAAAAGGGUGUUGCGGCUGACUAGG
rnacentral:lncRNA from 1 species